rfam:Octopus bimaculoides Scaffold86043_contig_12, whole genome shotgun sequence.
GGCGGUUUAGCUUAAAUGGUAAAGCGUUCCAACUGGAUAUUGGAGGGAUAUGAGUUUGAUCCUCAUGGCUGGCU